AGCCCAGCAUAAGGAAGGCUCCCCACUGGCCACACCAACAACCAUGUGGAAGUGUCAUUCCCCUUCUUGAGUCCACACCGUGUCCUGAAUGAGGGAGGAUGAGCAAUAAGCCUAUACUCUGCUGGAUGUCCCUGAAAGCCUCUGGUCAAGAAUGGCAAGUGUAAGAUACCCCUCCUGCCAGCUUCAGCCCAGAGAGAGCGCUGUCAUGCUCCAGGGAACUGGUGAGAAGAUGCAUCCACUGGACACCCUCUCCAUCACUUCUGCUCGCAAGCAAAGCUUUGCAGGUUAUCUCCUGGAUUUCAUUGGAGGGAAGAAAGAAAGUAAUCACAGCUUUCCUGAUUUAGUCCCCCCUCGGUGGGCUUUCCGCUGCUUAGGGCCACCUGCCGGUCUCCCCACUAGCCCAGCCCACUGUCAAUUCAACCUUCUCUCACUUCAUUUCCUCAGCUGUUAAAUGAUGCUGAAGUCACGGUCAGGACUUUAGCCACAAUGAAACAGGGGAGUGCUACACUGAAAUGAGAACCUCCAUGGAAACAUCUCCCGAAAUAAUGAAAAGUGUGAAAUAAAACUGGCUUAGGUGUUUGAA